rnacentral:rRNA from 1 species
GACGAAGGGGGCUAGCGUUGUUCGGAAUUACUGGGCGUAAAGCGCGUGUAGGCGGUUGUCCAAGUUGGAUGUGAAAGCCUUGAGCUCAACUCAAGAAAUGCGUUCAGGACUGGAUGACUAGAGGACCGGAGAGGAUAGUGGAAUUCCCAGUGUAGUGGUGAAAUACGUAGAGAUUGGGAAGAACACCAGUGGCGAAGGCGGCUAUCUGGACGGUUUCUGACGCUAAGACGCGAAAGCGUGGGGAGCAAACAGG